AAAAUGCGAUAAGUAAUGUGAAUUGCAGAAUUCAGUGAAUCAUCGAAUCUUUGAACGCACAUUGCGCCCGCCAGUAUUCCGGCGGGCAUGCCUGUUCGAGCGUCAUUUCAACCCUCAAGCCCCCGGGUUUGGUGUUGGGGAUCGGGCUGCGGUUCUGCCGCGUCCCGGCCCCGAAAUCUAGUGGCGGUCUCGCUGCAGCCUCCAUUGCGUAGUAGCUAACACCUCGCAACUGGAACGCGGCGCGGCCAAGCCGUUAAACCCCCAACUUCUGAAUGUUGACCUCGGAUCAGGUAGGAAUACCCGCUGAACUUAAGC
rnacentral:misc_RNA from 1 species